rnacentral:rRNA from 1 species
GACGAACGCUGGCGGCGUGCCUAAUACAUGCAAGUCGAGCGAAUCAAUAGGAGCUUGCUCCUGUUGGUUAGCGGCGGACGGGUGAGUAACACGUGGGCAACCUGCCUGUAAGACUGGGAUAACAUCGGGAAACCGAUGCUAAUACCGGAUAAUUCAUUCCCUCUCAUGAGGGAAUGUUGAAAGGCGGUUUCGGCUGACACUUACAGAUGGGCCCGCGGCGCAUGAGCUAGUUGGUGAGGUAACGGCUCACCAAGGCGACGAUGCGUAGCCGACCUGAGAGGGUGAUCGGCCACACGGGGACUGAGACACGGCCCAGACUCCUACGGGAGGCAGCAGUAGGGAAUCUUCCACAAUGGACGAAAGUCUGAUGGAGCAACGCCGCGUGAGCGAUGAAGGCCUUCGGGUCGUAAAGCUCUGUUGUUAGGGAAGAACAUGUACCGGAGUAACUGCCGGUACCUUGACGGUACCUAACCAGAAAGCCACGGCUAACUACGUGCCAGCAGCCGCCGUAA